rnacentral:rRNA from 1 species
AUUGAACGCUGGCGGCAUGCCUUACACAUGCAAGUCGAACGGUAACGCGGGGCAACCUGGCGACGAGUGGCGAACGGGUGAGUAAUGCAUCGGAACAUGCCCAGUAGUGGGGGAUAGCCCGGCGAAAGCCGGAUUAAUACCGCAUACGACCUACGGGUGAAAGGGGGGGAUCGCAAGACCUCUCGCUAUUGGAGCGGCCGAUGUCAGAUUAGGUAGUUGGUGGGGUAAAGGCCUACCAAGCCUACGAUCUGUAGCUGGUCUGAGAGGACGACCGGGCACACUGGGACUGAGGCACGGCCCAGACGCCUACGGGAGGCAGCAGUGGGGAAUUUUGGACAAUGGGCGCAAGCCUGAUCCAGCCAUGCCGCGUGCGGGAAGAAGGCCUUCGGGUUGUAAACCGCUUUUGUCGGGGAAGAAAUCUUCUGGGCUAAUACCUCGGGAGGAUGACGGUACCCGAAGAAUAAGCACCGGCUAACUACGUGCCAGCCGCCGCGGUAA